CUGGGUUAUCGAGUGCUCUCGCGCUCACCCCCACCCUUGUGUCUACCGACCUAGCUUCGGCUUAAGGCUGGCCUCCUCAGGGGGCCCGCUGGCCGAAAAUCCAACUCUGAACAACAUUGCAGCCUGAAGUAACAAGCAAAUAAUUA
rnacentral:misc_RNA from 1 species